rnacentral:lncRNA from 1 species
UUAUUUUAAAAUUUUCGGAUUAUUUUUGAUACUUGUAUUGACGGAUGUAUACAUUUUCCAAUAAGGAACCUAUGGCCUGGUGUUAGCAAAUUUUAAGUUCACGUGUUUUUAUUUUUUAUAAUUGCCAUGAUUUUCUUUUUAUAACUUUUUAUGAUUUAUUUUAACCAUUUUUGUACCUUUUAUUUAAUCCAAUAUUUUUUAAAUACUUGUUGAUUUUAUUUUUUCCAUUUUAAAUUUUUAAGUGUGUUGUAAAUAACUUUUUA